CCCUUAGAUGUUCUGGGCCGCACGCGUGCUACACUGAGUAAAUCAAUGGGUAAGGGAACACGAAAGCGCAACCUAAUCUUGAAAUUUGCUCGUGAUGGGGAUCGACGGUUGCAAUUUUCCGUCGUGAACGAGGAAUACCUUGUAGGCGCGUGUCAUCAUCACGCGCCGAAUACGUCCCUGCCCUUUGUACACACCGCCCGUCGCUCCUACCGAUUGAGUGAUCCGGUGAGGCUCUGGGACCUGGACGGAAAGAGCGUUUCGCUUGUUCUGUUUGGGAAACUUGGUCGAACCUUAUCAUUUAGAGGAAGGAGAAGUCGUAACA
rnacentral:rRNA from 1 species